AUUGAACGCUGGCGGCAGGCCUAACACAUGCAAGUCGAACGAGUGGCGGACGGGUGAGUAAUGUCUGGGAAACUGCCUGAUGGAGGGGGAUAACUACUGGAAACGGUAGCUAAUACCGCAUACCAUCGGAUGUGCCCAGAUGGGAUUAGCUAGUAGGUGGGGUAAAGGCUCACCUAGGCGACGACCCCUAGCUGGUCUGAGUGGAUGAACAACCACCCUGGAACUGAGACACGGUCCGUACUCCUACGAGAGUCAGCAGUGGGGAAUAUUGCACAAUGGGCGCAAGCCUGAUGCAGCCAUGCCGCGUGUAUGAAGAAGGCCUUCGGGUUGUAAAGUACUUUCAGCGGAGAGGCGUUACCCGCAGAAGAAACACCGGCUAACUCCGUGCCAGCAGCCGCGGUAAUUC
rnacentral:rRNA from 1 species